rnacentral:rRNA from 1 species
CAGCAGCCACGGGAAUACAGAGGGUGCGAGCGUUAAUCGGAUUUACUGGGCGUAAAGCGUGCGUAGGCGGCUUUUUAAGUCGGAUGUGAAAUCCCUGAGCUUAACUUAGGAAUUGCAUUCGAUACUGGGAAGCUAGAGUAUGGGAGAGGAUGGUAGAAUUCCAGGUGUAGCGGUGAAAUGCGUAGAGAUCUGGAGGAAUACCGAUGGCGAAGGCAGCCAUCUGGCCUAAUACUGACGCUGAGGUACGAAAGCAUGGGGAGCAAACAGGAUUAGAUACCCCAGAGUCCCUGUCUCUUAUACA